rnacentral:rRNA from 1 species
UACAGAGGGUGCAAGCGUUAAUCGGAUUUACUGGGCGUAAAGGGCGCGUAGGUGGUUGUUUUAAGUGAGAUGUGAAAUCCCCGGGCUUAACCUGGGAACUGCAUCUUAUACUGGGCAACUGGAGUGCAAUAGAGGGUAGUGGAAUUUCCGGUGUAGCGGUGAAAUGCGUAGAUAUCGGAAGGAACACCAGUGGCGAAGGCGGCUACCUGGAUUGACACUGACACUGAGAGACGAAAGCUAGGGGAGCGAAUGGG